UCAGCUGGUAGAAAAAACUUAUUGCCAAUGGCUGCACUGGUCAGACUCUCGUACUGGACUUGCAAGUUGUUUGGUAUUUUACAUUGGGAUGGAAUUGAUGCCGAAUAUACAACCAGGAUGUUACUGAUAAGAAAGACCAAAACCUGAAAGAAAAACAGGUUCUCUGCCACAUUGUAAUAUUUCUCUCCAGCGUCAUCUCGUUUGUAUCAUGGGCGUCAAUUCCAACCCAAUGCAAAAUACCAAGAAAUCUGAAAAUCCGGUACAAGAGACUGUCCCGUGUAGCCUUUGGCUAUAAGUUUUUUCUACCGGCUGAAGUAACUCCAGCCGGAAGUGACCAGAAACCAUUGAUCGACGGGGAUACAACCUGCCCAACAUCUUCUGUAUCUAUUGAUAUCAUCCGUGAACGUUCGACCUGCCCGUGGUACGUGAAUAUUACCCAUGAUUCAACAGUUUUCCCUUCAUCCCGUACUGAAGUAGUGUGUCGCUGCAGAGACUGUCUAGACGUUAGCAGCAGCAAGCACCAAUGUGUGACAGUAUAUACCAAAAUGACUGUCCUCAAACGUACUAAUAAAUGUGUUGCUGGACUGUACGUGUAUAAACCAAUUGUGAUUAAUGUAGGCACUGCUUGUGCGUGUGCAAGAAAACUUGAUCGAAUUAAAAACGACAAAUACGCGACUUAGGAAGUGUAAACUAUGAAACAUAGAAGCUAUUCACAAUAUUAUGAAAGAUUAACUUGACCAAUAAGAGGGUAACAUAAUUUGCACAUAAUUGUACAUAAAAUUCGCACACACAUAUAUACUUUGUAAAUAAUUUUAUAUUUUAUCUAAUUCCAUAUAUCAUACAACAUUUCAUAAUCUCCGUGUCCGCAUAUUAAUAUGUUAUCUUUAACAUAUGAAUUGUAUUGUUUAUUUCAAAUGAAUAUAUUUGAGUCAUAUCUGA
rnacentral:misc_RNA from 1 species